AGCAUCCAUUUUGAUAUCACUGAUGUUAUUUUUCUCUCGUAAACAUGGAAUUUUGAUUUAAACCAAGUUAAGAAAUAUACACAACAUCGGUACUCUAUUGCCCACUUCUGCCUUGUUCUUCUCUCAAACCCCCAUCAGAUGUGAAUCUCUCCACAAUCAGCGCCGCCACACUCAAAGUCUCACCAUCUCUGCCACAAGCCUAUCCCCCAAAGCCUCUCCUCCAACGACCACCAUUCUGUCAUUCCACCAUAGUCCCCACCAUUGCUUGAACGUUGAAGGAGCAUAGAGGCAGAUGUUUUUCUUUUCUCACCGUAGAAUCGAAUCGAAUUGAGUUCACUUUGAUCGUGUGAGUCUCCGAUCUUCAAAUCCGCAACAACAAUGGUGAGGGGAUUGCUCAACAAGCUCGUCUGUCGCUCCCUCUACGUCGCCGGAAAAUGGCAGCACAACCAACUCCGCUGCCUCAACAUCCACGAGUACCAGGUCUCUGUCUCUUCUCACCAUUAGUGAUAUUGUUACGAUUCACAAAUCAAUUCCAAUUCCAAGCUUCGCGGAAUCUGUUCCUUUUGCUAUAGAUUCCUCUCGCGGAAUCUGACCUUUGUUAUUUCUAGAAUGAUGAUAAAUCAUUUUUGUUGAUAAUGAAUCUGGAGUUCCUUGAAUGUAUGAUUUGUGAAAUUGUAUAUGUUUAUUUGUAUGGAAGGGUUUCCUUUAUCAGGUAUGUUUGUUGACUUAUCGAUGGAGAGAUCUUAAUCUGUUUUCCUCGUUCUUCUCUAUGCGUAUGUUUAUCAUUCUCUCUUUGUUGGACUUGUGCAUUAUGGAGAAUGCGAGAAUAAGCUAGUGGUUGAACCUUCUGGUGUGUGCGCUGGUGUUGCCGAUAUCAAAAGCUUCUUAUGUGCCAAUCACUAUUGUUCAGAACGCGGUAGCUAAAGGAGCUGUUGUUUGGAUGGGAGUCCACCAACUUACCAUUUUGAUAAGGUAUUUGGAUCAGGGAUUAACAAUUGGUUGGUUGCAUUUGAGGUGUGUCCCUGUCUACAAAUUUCCAUCAAUAAUUAGUCUUAAAAAUCAAAUUUGGUUCAUUGUUUUGCCUCAUCUUUUUGAAAAAAGUUAACCCACCUAAUAGAUCUUCGUUUUGGGUUCCUUGUCUUAAUAUUUGAUGAAUUUUGGUCCUCUUUAUAUUUAUUGGGUUUGGGAAAUUGCUGAUAAAUGAUAAUAGGUUGCUAACAUAAAUUUUAAUAAGUUAAGUAAGUCGUUUAAGAGUUGUUGGACUUAACAUCCCAACCUAGGGCUGGUAAUCACUUGAUCGGUUCAGCAAGAGUAGUAAUGAUACAAAUAGAAAAUAAAUUUAAAGUUUUACUUUUUCCACACAAUACUUUGUGAGCUAGCAUACUAUAAUCGGUGCUCAAGAGCUUGAUUUUUUGGUGGUUUAUCAGUAUAAUUGUUCUUGGUUGUAAUUAUUCUCCUCCAUUGUCUAUAAGUUUUACUGAUGAUGGCUGAUAAAUAGGGCUAAUCUAUGAUGGUUUUUAGCACAAAUGAAUCUACAAACAAGGUUGUAGUUUGCGUUGGGGUGCUAGAGAAAGGAGGUAAAGGUAAGCUGGAUAUGGCAGAUUGGCUGAAUAAUGCUUUGGGGCCUCUAAAAGGGAGAUGUGGUAAAGGAAAAGGUGGUCUUGCAACGGGUCAGCUUAGUUAUUGACUAAUUGCUUUUUUUUUUUGGGUGAAACUAAUUGUUUUAAUUUAUGCACAAAAGUAGCUUUAAUUUUUACAAAUAUUAAAAGCAUAGUAUGGGAAUUUUAUUUUUUUUCUGUAUAUUUCAUAUAACCUUUGUCCAAUAUUUAAUGCCGCUUGAAGCGUGAGAGUUAGUGGUUUGUGGAUUUUGCUCAUGGGUCACAUUAUGAUAUUGGUAGGUUUGAGGAUUGAGCAUUAGACAUUCAACUUUCAGGCAGAUAUUUACUACCUUUUCUUUUUUUAAUUCUUGAACCCACAACUUUGUCAUAUCCACCAAAUGUUGAAGUAAGCGUAGUUGGUAGGUUUUAGUUUGUUGAAAAUGCAAGAUCUUCCAAAUGUUGUACCAUUUACAGUAGAAAAGAGUAAAUAAAUAAACACAUUUUUAUAAGGAAAUUGUACCAUAGAAGAUUGCAUGCAUCUGGAAACUUAGGAACUCUCUAUUUUUCGAAAUAAUCAAUUCACAUUUAAUAAUUAAUUAUUCUAAAACCAUAGAAGCGUGAAAAGCCCUUUGCUCGGGAUAGUCGAUUACCUCAAUCUGGAAUUGAUUAUCCUAAUUUUGGAAAUGUGAAACAAGAGGGAUUUUAACAAAAUAAUUGAUUACCACAUUUGAUAAUCGAUUAGAUCUGUUUUAUUUGUUCAAACUAUAAAUAUCCUCCCUUGUCCAUUCUCAUUAGUGACUCUUGAUUUGAUCUUAUCUUUUGAAAAACACUUUCUUAGAGUCAUCUAAGGGAAUCAAUAUGCAUUUCAACAAGAGAUUUAUGAUGAUCAAGAUUCCUUCAUUCUUCAUCAUGGUUUGAGAAAGAAAGGAAGAACUUGAAGAUAUUGUGAUUUGCAAAUUCAAGUGUAUUGAAUCUAAUUUUGAAUUCUUUCUAGUUUCUAACCUUGAUUAGGGCUAUCAAGUGUUUGUGUGAGUUGAUAGGGUUUCAACUCCUGAUCCUUCUCUUAUAGGGUUCAAGAAAAGAGUAGAAUUUUAGGGAAUUACUUGUGCAUAGUGUUUGUACAUGAUUUUCUAUUUGUAAAAGUUCUAAGGAGUCUGAGUCUCUGAGAAUAACUGGAUGUAAGUCCUCUUGAGAAUUGAACCAGUAUAAAUCCUGUGUAUGAUUUUUUUUU